CUCGUUCUCUCAUCUCUUUCCCUCCCCUACAAAGCACAAAACAACCUCUCGUUCUUUACCUCUCUUAGUCUCUUUCUUUUUAAUUUCAAUUUCUCCCAAGUAACUGCUCUCUCUUGCACCUCCACAGCUGUAUGUGACUGCCCUACUUUCUCAAGUCAAUUUUUUGCUUGAUUAGGUGGAUGACAAACUAUACACAUAUACUUGGAGUAUGUGUCUGGUGCCUCCAUCUAAAAACUACUUCAAGAAUGUGACCAAUUUGGUGAAAUAGCCAUUCGUAGCUAUACUCAACAAAUCUUGUGUGGGCUUGCUUAUUUGCAUGCUAAAAAUAUUGUCCACGGGUGAACCUUAUUGUUUUGCUAUCUCAUGGUUUUGAUAUGGAACCACAACUUACUCUAAUCACUUAUAAAAAUCAUCAUGCUUAUGUCAUAAAUUUUAAUGAUAAUUUAUAGGGGUGUUCAUGGACAUAAUCGGUCGAGUUUUGUCCAUAAAUAUCACCAAUCCAACUUCUUUUAUAUAUAUGUUACAAAGUUUCAACCCGAUCCAUUCAAAGAUUUUUUUUGAUAAUUUGCAAGGGUACUCAUCUACAAAAGCAAGUGUCGACUUCAAAUUUUCUAUUGUGCUCUUCCAAUUUAGAGAAAAAAUAGUAGCAAAAACUAGGCAUGACUGACCAUCUAGAGCACAAAUGUUUAUGAUCAAUUUCUUUUCUCGGGAAAAGUCAAUCAAUGCUAGAUGAAAUUGGCCCAACCAGAGAGAAGAGUGGGGUGGGGGGUGGCGAAGGGAAGAAAAUAUCAACUAGAUAAUGUUAGGUUUAAUGACCCAAUCAUCUGGGGGGAAGAAAAAAAGAGAAUGGAAAGGAAAGCCUAAUCAGAUAGGAAAGAAGAGAAAAUAAAGGAAGAGAAGGAUAAAGGAAGGAAAUAGGAAGAAAGGGUCAAAACCCAAUCGCCCAGCAAUUGCCUAACCAGACAACUUAUUAGGAUGAAUGGCCUAACCAGAAAAGGAAGAAAGAAAACAAGAACAGAGAAAAAAGAGAAAAAAAAAAA